rnacentral:miRNA from 1 species
ACACCUGAAACAAAACGCAA